GGAGUUCUCAUAUCACACUAAAACUCUCCAAAUUGCCACCCAAAAAAAUUGUUUACAUUAAUCAAAUCUUUUCUUUGUUGCAUAUAUAGAAGAGGGUUUGUCUCCUCAAGUGCAAUAGGAAAUGGAAAUUAUGGCCACGAGCAAGGAGAGGUGGGAGAAAAAUAUUCAUGUUUUAGAUGAGAAAAUCAAAAAGUUUCCUGGUUUUGUAUGGCAAACAACUUGGAGAGUUGGUCGAGAUGAUCCUCGAAGAGUUAUUCAUGCUUUCAAAGUUGGUUUGGCUUUGACAUUAGUCUCUUUGCUGUAUCUGCUGGAGCCAUUGUUUGAAGGGAUUGGACAAAGUGCCAUUUGGGCUGUAAUGACCGUUGUUGUUGUGCUUGAGUUCACAGCAGGUUUGUUUAAUUUCUGAGUUUCUGUCAAUUUUUUCCUUUGAUUGUAAUCGUGAUCAUUCUUUCAAAUGCAGGUGCAACAUUAUGCAAAGGACUUAACAGAGGAUUAGGGACCCUCCUAGCAGGAUCAUUAGCAUUUGCCAUUGAGUUCAUUGCACAGGAAACCGGCCACGUUUUCCGAGCUAUUUUCAUCGGAGCUGCUGUUUUUGUGAUAGGGGCUGCAGCUACCUACAUUAGGUUCUUUCCCAAAGUGAAGAAAAAUUAUGACUAUGGUGUUGUGAUUUUCCUCUUGACCUUUAAUUUGAUAACUGUGUCGAGCUUUCGCGUUAGCAAUGUAUUGAAGAUUGCCCAUGAACGAUUCUACACCAUUGCCAUUGGCUGUGGUGUUUGCCUGUUAAUGAGUCUGCUGAUAUUCCCAAUUUGGUCAGGAGAAGAUCUCCAUAAUUCCACAGUGUCUAAGCUGGAAGGUCUAGCUAAAUCUAUAGAAGGUGUGCAUAUAAAUAUAUAGUCUAGAUUUAUGCUAAUAAUAAGUUUUGAAGUAUGUUUAUUUGUUUAUGUAAUUCCGAUGUGCAAAAUAUAUGUUAUUGUAGCUUGUGUCAAUGAAUAUUUUAGCGAUGAAGAGAAAGAAGCUAUCCAAGAUAAAUCAUCAGAGGAUCCCAUCUACAAAGGUUAUAAGAAUGUCUUGGAUUCAAAAUCACAAGAUGAAACUUUGGCAACACAUGCAAGUUGGGAGCCUAGGCACUCAAGGCACUGCAGGUAUCCUUGGCAGCAGUAUGUGAAAUUAGGAGGUGUUCUUCGCCACUUCAGUUACACUGUUGUAGCUCUUCACGGAUGUCUGCUAACUGAAAUUCAGACCCCUAGGUCUUGCCGUGCCCUCUUCAAAGAUCCAUGCAUUCGAGUAGCAAGUGAAGUAUCCAAAGCACUAAUGGAACUUGCCAACAGCAUAAGAAAUCAUCGCCAUUGCUCUCCUGAGAUCCUCUCCGAUCAUCUUCACGAGGCAUUGCAAGACCUUAACACUGCCAUAAAAUCACAGCCAAGGCUUUUUCUAGGCUCCAACAAUACCCAAGCCAAAAACAUGCUAGCCUUGGCAGCUGCACAUGCUAGACAAAAGCAAGAAAAGGAUCACCAUGGAGUGUCAUUAUCAAGUGUAAAGACGGAUAGUUCUGCAUUGCUUGAAUGGAAAACGAAAAGGGCUAAUAAUGAGCAAUCUCGAGAAGCUGAAAGGAAAGUGUUACGGCCACAAUUGAGCAAAAUUGCAAUCACAAGUCUUGAGUUCUCGGAGGCACUUCCAUUUGCUGCUUUUGCAUCUUUGCUGGUGGAGGCAGUAGCUAGGCUAGAUAAUGUGAUUGAAGAAGUUGAAGAGCUUGGAAGGAUAGCUUGCUUCAAAGAAUUUAAACCUGGUGAUGAGAUUGUUGAGACACCAAAAGUGAAUGUUUCACAGAAUCAUUUGCCUUCUACUGAUGGGGCAGAGUGAUUCUGCAGUCUUUGAUUUAGAUAUGGCUGAUUUAUGGGU
rnacentral:misc_RNA from 1 species